AUGAGGGCGACCGAGUGUGGGGAGGAAGCGUGGAUCGAAACCGUGAGCCGAUGGACAAGAACCGGAUACAAGGCGAUGCCGACCAGGGCGAGCGGGCAUGUAACUGCGAAGCUCUUGUGGUCAAAGGGGCGGCAACGUAAAUCCGGCGGUUGUGCGGGGAAGGAUUGCGUUC
rnacentral:ncRNA from 1 species